ACAUCACUCAUCGCCAGGGAAAUACAAAUAAAAAUUACAAUGAGAUGCCACCUCACACCUGUCAGAAUGUCUGAAAUCAACAAUACAGGAAACAAUAGAUAAUGUCAAGGAGGUGGAGAAA